ACCUAAUCAGUAAUCUCUUACAAAACAUUUAACUACCGCCUAACAAUUUCUUGAACAUUGGCCGAGAACAAUAACCCGAGCCACGCAUUGUUCUAGAUUGUUUAUUAAGAAAAACUGAAAUCAAAAAUCCAUAUAGUUUAUGCAGACUAUACGGCAAUGAAGAUCAACAUUUAUCAUUAGUUAAUUCAUUUUCAUCAACGGUAGAACAAACAGAAAAAAAAUCAUCGAUUAUAAAAUUAUUUUUAUUGAUUGAUGCAGUUACAUGAAUCUAUUGAUGUAUUUUUUUGUAGAUUUAGACAUGCAAUCGUCUAAUACAACUAGAUGUUGAUUGUUGGAGGAAGUGGCGGGACAUGUCUACAUCUUUCCUUUCCCGGACAUCCCGGUUCGUACGGAUUUACUGGUUGCGGGGGUGGACACGUGCCAGGACUACAGCCAGGUGGAUGAUCGCCACCACGUAUUGGUGGAUAUCCAAUAAAUUUUCCAGCUGCUGGAUUGCUGAUCAUAAACACACAUGCUGCUAUGAGUAUUGCAACGACCAUAACCCUAUUUGUUCCUUUUAGAUUGCUCAUGAUUUGUGUUGAAAUUAGAUGUUUACAGAAUAGCUUAUGGAGUGUUGUGCUAAUUUGUAUGAAGAGGGUUUUUAUAGUGUGUAAUUUUUUUGAAAAACAUAUCUAUCUAUAUAUAUAUUAAGAAGUGAAUUUGCUUACUUGUUAUCUUUUCUAUGAUUUUAGGAUAAAUCAUUAAUUUAAUUAUAUUUUAUUAUUUUGAUAUCUAUAUAUAUUUAUCAUGAUAUCUAAGAUAAUUAAUAAACAUUAACAUAUUCUAACAUUAUAUAUACUAUUAUUUAUAAAAAUAUAUAUAUUUGUCAUAUUAUUAUUUAUUUAUUUUAUUUUGAUAUAUAUAUAUAUAUAUUAUUUUUUAUCAUAAUAUUUAAGAUAAUUAAUAAACAUUAAUAUAUUCUAACAGUAUAUAUAUACUGUUAUUUAUAAGAAUAUAUAUUUAAUAUAUACUUAUCAUGAUAUUAAAGACAUAUAAUUAAUUAAUAGAUAUUAAAAAUAUCUACCUAUAAUAUCAUCAUUACUUAUAUCUUAUAUUUAGUUUAAAAUUUUAAUUAAUAAUAUUAUAGCCAGUUUUUAUGAUUUUUAUCUAAAAUAUUGAUCAAAUACAGAUUAUUUGUUUAUUCGGUUUGAUCGCUUAAUAAACCAAUGAAACCUUUAUAUAGUAUAUAAGUAUACUAGUAUAUCUUAAUUAAUCGGUUUUAUUGGUUUAUUCGGUUUGACCACUUAAUAUAUUGAACCAUAUUCAUAUACUGCAGUUUCUUAAAAAUAACAUUCAUUCGGUUUAUUCGAAUAUGGACGUCAAAACGUUACUUUUGUAUAAUUAAGGACUUAUGUAAUGGAAAAUUUACACAUUUUGAAAAAACAAGAUUACAGAUAAAGAGUGGUAUGAGUAAUUACGAUUUAUCGUAUAGUGUUGUACUUGCCAUUUGUUACAUUGCCAAUUGUUAGUUCUUUUUACUCUUAUAAAUGUGUAAAUUUUCCAUUACAUAAGUCCUUAAUUAUAUACAAAAGUAAUCUUGUUAGUUAGUCCGUCCGGACUUACGACUAUUGGAUUUAAUUAAGACCAGUAUUAUGAAAUAUCGCAUUCAUUUGAUUCAGCAUUAGAAGAUGUAGUUAGAGCGCAAAUUAUAAAACCGUGGACACCACUUGUCUUUUUCUUUCUUCAAAUUAAAUUCAGUCAUCUAAAAUAGUUCAGCGAACGGAGAUCGAGAACCAGAUCCUAGAGCUCUAACUAAAAACUUCAAACUAAAGCUUUAUAAUCUAGACAAAGUACUUAUCUUGACAAUCUGGCUAGAACAUAACACUGAGUUGUUUUUCUUACUUCUUCAGACGUUACAUGAAACUAGCUUUUACCAUUAAAAAUGGAUUAAUUGACUACUUUAUUUUGUUCUUGUUAAAAAAAAAUUCAAGAGUUCAGGUUAGGAUGGGAAGAUGUUGCGGCGUCAAGGUGAUCAAAGCAAGGCACUCACUAUCCACAUUAUCCAAUAGCUCAUGCAUUUAAUACCUACAGAAGUCACACGGAUGAAACACCGAACAUGAUUUCUCACUGGGGUCCAGCCCACACGAGGGUGCAUCUCUAUCUCUUUUAUCUAGGGGUUGGUGUUUUCGGCCAACGUGGACCCGUUUAUUUCCUCGACCAGGUCCACACACCUCUACAAGAAUUUAUACAAGGGAGGGAUAUAUAAACAGUAUCGUUUUUUUUAUCAAUUUGGAUCAACUAGCCAAAUGAAAUUUAGCUUUAGCAAUUGACAAAUUAAAGCACGGGUAUGUGGAGUUUUUAUUUUUGGAAUGUUUUCCAGUGUUUUCGAGUAAUUUGAAGUAUUUUGUAAUUUAUGACUCCUUGUCACUAAAAUAUUAUUCUGCUGGCUAUGCAAUAAUAUUAGGUUAAAUUAAAUUAGCAUGGUUUUCAGUAUACUUUACUACUAUAUAUAUAGGUAUCAGUUUUCUCACAGAAAAAUCUUUAUCAUAAAAUAGCAUGGUUUUCAGUAUACUUUACUGAAAAUCAUGCUAUACUAUAUAUAUAGGUAUCAGUUUUCUCACAGAAAAAUCUUUAUCAUAAACGAACAUUUUAUUUAUCCUGGUUUUCUUACAUAUUUCAUUAUUUAUUAGUAGAGUCUAAUGUAACUAAAUCAAGUAACAUCAGAAGUUAACCAUUACGUAUAACGAGUCACUAUCUGGAUUCAAAUAUUUCUAUGUUAUUAACAAAAUAAAUGUCAAUUCUAAAAUUAUUUAUAAACAAGCUUAAAAACCAGAAAAUUUGAACGAUACAAAUUAUUGAAGUAUUACGUGUGGUAUAAAUUUCAUCUAUUUAUUUUUAUUUUUUAAUAUUUAUAAUACUCAUUAAAAAUGGUACGUUGGGAGUAUUGUGUUUGUUUAAUAAAUGUUACUUAUUAUAUAUAUUUAUAUAACCACGUAUAUAUGUAUAUAGUACUUUCCCUCUAGAUCAAGAUGAAGUCAUUGUCAACUUGACUUUCAAUUUUUAGGUCAGAUUCUUCAAUCGUAAUCAUGCAUGGGCAUGAUGAUGUUUAGCAAUAAACGAUGUUGAUGAUCAUUAUAUGCUUUUAUAAUUUGAAUGAGAAAUUCUUUUAUAAUCAAGCCAAUAUUAUUGUGCCCCUUCUUGAUUGUACUAAUAACCAUAUUUUAAACACCCCCUUCCCCCAAAAAAAAAACUUUGACGACAUGGGUGUAUGACAUGUUUUCGUCAUAUCACAUGGUUGACCAUUUAAUAUAUAUAUAUAUAUACAGUAUAUAGCAAAAACAAACUUGGAAUUUCUAUGUGAUUUUGAAGGCUUUGUUUUCCUGUUUUCGUAAUCGGGUGUAGUACAACACAAGUACAUACUUAUAUCGAGAUUUAAACGUGAUGUGCACAUUUCAAAACCUUUUUAAUCUAAACAUUGUAAAGAAACCAUAUAUAAUACCACUAUCACAUUACCGUAUUUAAAUGUUUGCAACAAAAUAACGAUUGAUGUCUGAUGAGAAACUGAAGUGUUUUAUCGACUAAUCCCCAAAACAGUGAAGUUUAAAGAGUUUAUAUAUGUUUCCCUAUAAGAUUGUACAAUGUUGUAGAAAUAAAGUGUCUAGCUUUCGUUCUCUCAACCAAUUAAUCGGCCAAUAAAUCGGUUCAUAGACAUUUCGCCUCGUAGAAACAGAGAUUUCCUAUGAAAGCCAGUUUACAAAAAAAAAAAGAAACAGAGAUUUCCUAAUAUCUUUGCCGUCAUUUUGCUACGUUUUUUCCGUAUUUUCAUAAAAGGUCAACUGUCUAACCUAUUGUACUGUGUAGUUACUCAUGUUUAAUAUAGCACUAGAUUUAUCCCAACAUUAUAUCAUAUCCUAAGCAUCGAUCAGAAGGGAAUGUUUGCUUAUUACCUACAUAGUGAAAGUCAUCUGAAACUGAUAAAUGAAUAUUCACAUUUACAUGAAUAAAUAUACCUUAAUCUCUAGUUUUCCUUUGACUUCACAGUAUUUUAACAAACAAGACAGAAGCACAUGGAGGAACCAUACUACGAAAACGCUAUGGCAGACCAAGACUUUAGUUUAUUUAAAUUCCUUAAAUUUUAUUUAUUUCAAUUAUUUUUGUCGGCAUUAUUAUAUCAAAAUUAUUAAUUUGCACUAAAAUAAGGCAAGCAUAUCACUUGUGAAUGGCGGGCCCCAUAAGAAAGACAACGAAUCCAUGGAAUCAAAACACAUGUUUGAAGCUGACAACUUUCCCAUCUAUGGGACCCACACUGUCUUAGCUGUCAUUGUAUUCUAAUUUUAAUUUAAAUAGAUAUAAAAAAAUCCGACAAAACACGCUUUUGUUAAUAUUAUUGGUUUAUCUUUUCUUCUGUAUUGUUUCAAUAAGAUUAAUUGCAUUUUAUAAACUAAAUGUAUGAUUUAAAACGGAUCAAUUAAAGCACUAGAUUAGAGAAAUACAAAAUAAAAUAAGAACCUAAAAAUAUGGAACAGAGAGAAGAAAAACU
rnacentral:lncRNA from 1 species